rnacentral:misc_RNA from 1 species
GAAAUGCGAUACGUAAUGUGAAUUGCAGAAUUCAGUGAAUCAUCGAAUCUUUGAACGCAUAUUGCGCUCUCUGGUAUUCCGGAGAGCAUGCUUGUUUGAGUAUCAGUAAACACCCCUCGAAAAUCUCUUGAUGAAAAUCUUUUUUUUCGGAUUUGAGUGAUUCCAACCGUGUGUCCUUUUUGAAGGAGACAUGGGCGGGCCACUUGAAAUGCAGGUGCAGCUGGACUUUCUUCUGAGCUAUAAGCAUAUUUAUUUAGUCCUGUCAACCUCGUGUUGCCGGAUUAUUACUUCUGCUGCAGCUAAUAUAAAGGUCGAAAGUUCAAACGGCUGACUGAUGCAGGAAUUUUUCAGAAGCGCGGCGUAAGCUGGGUUCUCUGUUAAACUCGAUCUCAAAUCAAGC